UACGUAGGGGGCAAGCGUUGUCCGGAAUCAUUGGGCGUAAAGCGCGUGUAGGCGGCCCGGUAAGUCCGCUGUGAAAGUCGGGGGCUCAACCCUCGAAUGCCGGGUGGAUACUGUCGGGCUAGAGUGCGGAAGAGGUGAGUGGAAUUCCUGGUGUAGCGGUGAAAUGCGCAGAUAUCAGGAGGAACACCAAUGGCGAAGGCAGCUCACUGG
rnacentral:rRNA from 1 species